rnacentral:rRNA from 1 species
GACGAACGCUGGCGGCGUGCUUAACACAUGCAAGUCGAACGAUGAAGCGGUGCUUGCACCGUGGAUUAGUGGCGAACGGGUGAGUAAUACGUGAGUGACCUACCUUUGACUCUGGGAUAAGCCUGGGAAACUGGGUCUAAUACCGGAUACGACCAAUCUCUGCAUGGGGUGUUGGUGGAAAGCGUUAUGGAGUGGUUUUAGAUGGGCUCACGGCCUAUCAGCUUGUUGGUGAUGUAAUGGCUUACCAAGGCGACGACGGGUAGCCGGCCUGAGAGGGUGACCGGCCACACUGGGACUGAGACACGGCCCAGACUCCUACGGGAGGCAGCAGCGGGGAAUAUUGCACAAUGGGCGCAAGCCUGAUGCAGCGACGCCGCGUGAGGGAUGACGGCCUUCGGGUUGUAAACCUCUGUUAGCAUCGAAGAAGCGAAAGUGACGGUAGGUGCAGAGAAAGCGCCGGCUAACUACGUG